UUGGGAAUAUUGGACAAUGGACGAAAGUCUGAUCCAGCAAUGCCGCGUGAAUGAUGAAGGCCUUCGGGUCGUAAAGUUCUUUUAGCGGGGACGAAGGGUAACUUGACGGUACCCGCAGAAAAAGCACCGGCUAACUCCGUGCCAGCAGCCGCGGUAAUACGGAGGGUGCAAGCGUUGUUCGGAAUCAUUGGGCGUAAAGCGCGUGUAGGCGGUAAUCUAAGUCUGGUGUGAAAGCCCGGGGCUUAACCCCGGAAGUGCAUUGGAUACUGGAUUACUAGAGGACGGAAGAGGGAAGCGGAAUUCCUGGUGUAGGGGUGAAAUCCGUAGAUAUCAGGAGGAACAUCGGUGGCGAAGGCGGCUUCCUGGUCCGUAACUGACGCUGAGACGCGAAAGCGUGGGGAGCAAACAGG
rnacentral:rRNA from 1 species